GGAGCUAUACAAAGGGCCUGUAGUGAGGAACGCUAUGCAACACUGUUUAGUUAACAUUGGCCAUUCGCUAACACUGUGCAUAUGCUGAAAAAUGGCUGACACUUAUAAUUGCCGAAUCAAGUGAUUGUUUAGUGCAUUUUUAUUGCGAUAUAAUGCUAAAAUAUGCCGAUAACUACUUACAAUUAAUAAACGAAUGUAAUUUAAAGCUAUGCUAAUUUAAUACAUGUGUUGAAACACACUAAAAGAAAAGACUGCGCACAAGAAUCAACAACUGCACAA